rnacentral:rRNA from 1 species
UACGUAGGGGGCAAGCGUUGUCCGGAUUCAUUGGGCGUAAAGAGCGUGUAAGCGGCCAGGUAGGUCGGUUGUGAAAACUGGAGGCUCAACCUUCAGAGGUCGACCGAAACCAUCUGGCUAGAGUCCGGGAGAGGAGAGUGGAAUUCCUGGUGUAGCGGUGAAAUGCGCAGAUAUCAGGAAGAACACCCGUGGCGAAAGCGGCUCUCUGGAACGGUACUGACGCUGAGACGCGAAAGCGUGGGGAGCGAACAGG